UGAAGGUGAUUUUCGUUCCACUGUCGAUGAGGAAGAAUGAAGACGAAGAAUUGGGAUCCAUUACGGUGACCGACGAUGUAUAGGAGGAUCUAAAGCUCGCAAUCAAGGACCACAAGGCCAGAUUUCUGCUUCUUUUUUGCCUAUACUUUUGUGGAUAUCAUGUAGAGAAUACAAAGACUGUGUUCUCUUCAUCAGAACUGACUAAUCAGUCGACGAAAAAUUAAACACUGAAAUGGAGUCGACCCUGAAGUACAGGAAUGUUAGAUUUUCGAAAUUUUGCCCCUACCAAAAAGAAAUUGAGAAAAUUUUGCUUAGGUGAUUACAGCCACUGGCAGUGACGAAGGCAGUUGCGGUCAAGGACAAGGUCUAGCUACCUUCUAUUUGGCCGCGAAAAGCCUCUGCACACGGUC